rnacentral:piRNA from 1 species
UAGGUAGAAUCAACUGGUGCUUAGAAU